GUGGGGAAUCUUCCGCAAUGGACGAAAGUCUGACGGAGCAACGCCGCGUGAGUGAAGAAGGUUUUCGGAUCGUAAAGCUCUUUCGUUAGGGACGAACGUGCUCUUUGUGAAUAAUGAGGAGUAAUGACGGUACCUAAAUAAGAAGCCACGGCUAACUACGUGCCAGCAGCCGCGGUAAUACGUAGGUGGCAAGCGUUGUCCGGAAUUAUUGGGCGUAAAGCGCGCGCAGGCGGGAUAUCAAGUCUGUCUUAAAAGUGCGAGGCUCAACCUCGUGAGGGGACAGAAACUGGUAUUCUUGAGUGUCGGAGAGGAAAGUGGAAGUCCAAGUGUAGCGGUGAAAUGCGUAGAGAUUUGGAAGAACACCAGUGGCGAAGGCGACUUUCUGGACGAUGUCUGACGCUGAGGCGCGAAAGCUAGGGGAGCGAACGGGAUUAGAUACCCGGGUAGUCC
rnacentral:rRNA from 1 species